rnacentral:rRNA from 1 species
AUGAUAGUGAAGGGUUGUGAAGGUAAACGUGGUGGUCUUGCUCUCAUGUGGAAGAGGCAUGUCAACGCAGAACUCCACAACUACUCAAGAUAUCACAUAGACAUGGAGAUAGUGGAGCAAGACGGAUACAAAUGGCAGUUUACUGGCGUAUAUGGUGAACCCUCCUCAGAUAAAAAGGAUAAUACUUGGAAAUUACUAAAAAUUCUAAACCAACAACUCAAUCUUCCAUGGUUGUGUGCAGGAGAUUUUAUUGAAGUGUUGUAUGGCCAUGAGAAAAAAGGAGGUCCAGGUCGUAGCCAAAGAUCAAUGGAGAAGUUUAGAAUGGCAUUAUUAGAAUGUGUAUUACGUGACCUUGGUUACUCUGGUGACAAGUAUACAUGGAGAAAUAAUAGCCAUGAAGCCAGAUUUUACAUUAAAGAAAGAUUGGAUCAGGCUGUCGCAACUAGGGAGUGGUGUGCACGUUUUCCUUCAUAUCAGGUCACAAACGGUGACCCGAGGCAUUCAGACCAUAGACCGGUCACCAUUUCAGUUGAAGGAACCAAGAGGCAAUCCAGAAGGAUUGGAAAUGGGAACACAUUCAGAUUUGAGGCGAAAUGGUUGGAAGAAGAAGAAUGUGAAGAUCUUGUCACCAAUGCCUGGAACACUGCAAAUAUUAGAAGCGGUGGAAGUGUGGCUCAAGGCAUCAAAAGUGUUUCCAGGGACCUAAAAGCCUGGGAUGCAAAUGUACUAGGAGACCUUCAAUGGAGAAUAAAGAAGUUAAAAGAUGAGCUAGAAAUGGUCAGAAGAAGUGAAAUAAAUCAAGACAAAGUCGAUCCGGAACAUGUACUGAAGGAUAAGCUGGAUCGACUAGAGAAGCAACACAACCUUUUCUGGAGGCAAAGAGCCCAUGUUAAAUGGCUGCAAUUUGGAGAUAAAAAUACGGCUUUCUUCCAUGCAUGUGCAUCUGAGAAGAAAAAACGUAAUACCAUCCAAAAGUUGAAGAAAGAAGAUGGGACUUGGGUAGAAGAGGCAGAGCAACUAAAUGAAUAUAUUUCAAAUUAUUACCUUAAUAUAUUUACCUCGGCGGCAAGGCACGACAAUAACACAAUUCUGCAAUCAAUUCAACCUAGAGUAACUGAUCAAAUGAACGAGUUGCUUUGUGCAAAAUAUACUGAAGAAGAGGUGAGAGCUGCCCUAAAUAAUAUUGGUGAUCUAAAGGCCCCGGGACCUAAUGGCAUGCCUACAAUCUUUUUUAAGAGAUUCUGGAACACUGUAGGGGAACAAGUAACAAAGGAAGUGCUUAAGGUGUUGAGAGGUGGGGAGAUGCCUGAAGAAUGGAAUAAUACCAUAAUAGUUUUGAUCCCAAAAAUGCCUAAACCAGCGAGACUGAAUGACUUACGGCCCAUUAGCCUCUGCAACGUGGUCUACAAAUUAAUAGCCAAGAGGAAGAAGAGCGGAAGAGGAGGAUAUGCUGCCAUCAAACUCAACAUGAGCAAGGCUUAUGAUAGAGUUGAAUGGAAAUUCCUACAAGAAAUCAUGCUGAAAUUGGGUUUCAAUAGAAGAUGGGUGCAACUGGUGAUGAACUACGUCACCACGGUGAAAUACCAAAUCAAAAUCAAUGGGGACGUCACGGAGAUAAUUAUUCCCGAGCGAGGGCUUUGCCAAGAUGACUCACUUCUCCUCCUGGAAGCAAAUGCCAACAGUGCUCAUGAGCUGAAUCAAAUCCUGAAUGUUUAA